rnacentral:lncRNA from 1 species
AUUCUGAUCAUAAAAUCGAAUGUCAUCUGUAAUUAGUUUAAAGCUCGCAAGGCUUCUCUUCUUACUAUUUCUAUGUGAUAUCCAUGAGAUCGAUGCAAAUAUUGUAGCCGAUAAUGGGUCCAAUCGUCGAAUUACAGUUGUUACUUCACCAGUUAAAGGUGUAGCUGAAAAUCCACCAGGCAUCGUAGCUGGUAUAGUCAACCGGAAGUAGAUGAACCAUGUAGACAUCCUUGUCCUUAGUUAAUCAUUGAGUCAUGGUACCGUUAUUAUAUGAAGUGUAAUUGUGUGUUCAUCGACAAAAUAUCAAAGAAAAAUAUUUGGUAAUUCAGAUUAUAUUUAUGGUAUCAAAUUAUAGUAAAAUAUUGUAAUAUGAGAUCUGAUAAUACCAACUCCUGUACAAGGAGUAUGGCCUGAAAAUAGGUACAAAUGUUCAAAAAAGAUCAGAUAUUGCAAACAGACAUUGGGAUCUAAGCCAUGUCCAAAUCGAGUUUUCCACCCAUGUUUAUUGUUGGUAGGAAGACAUAUCAAAUUGUUGGCCACUUUCAAGCCACCGACUGGAAAUCUGGUCGAUCUAAAAGGGCUCGUCUUCUUCUGACGAGAUGUGCAGUGUGUGAGAUGGCUGAAAUCAGAGAUCCCUAAUCAAUCAGAUUAGGGGUGCGUGAGCAGCAGAAUGGGAGUUGGAAAAUCAGUUGUUUCCAAAUACAACAGUUAGGU